rnacentral:rRNA from 1 species
AUUGAACGCUGGCGGCAGGCCUAACACAUGCAAGUCGAGCGAGCGGCGGACGGGUGAGUAAUGUAUGGGGACUGCCCGAUAGAGGGGGAUAACUACUGGAAACGGUGGCUAAUACCGCAUACUAUCGGAUAACCCAUAUGGGAUUAGCUAGUAGGUGGGGUAAAGGCUCACCUAGGCGACGAUCUCUAGCUGGUCUGAGAGGAUGAUGAGCCACACUGGGAUUGGGAACCGGCCCAGACUCCUACGGGGGCAGCAGUGGGGAAUAUUGCACAAUGGGGGAAAGCCUGAUGCAGCCAUGCCGCGUGUAUGAAGAAGGCCUUCGGGUUGUAAAGUACUUUCAUCGAGGAGGCGUUACUCGCAGAAGAAGCACCGGCUAACUCCGUGCCAGCAGCCGCGGUAAUA